rnacentral:tRNA from 1 species
UGGGGUAUAGUGAAACGGCAUCACAUAAUUCUGAUAAAGUUAUAUUCUGGGUUCAACUCCCAGUAUCCCAA